CAUCCACUCGAUACCUUGGAGUAAGCCCAAUUGUUGUAAACAAGUUAAAUCGGGGUACCUGGUGGAAGCGACGCCUCGCUGUUGGAAGCGCUCGAAUUGCUCUUGCUGAUAGUUGUCAUCUCCGGAUCGGAAGAUGAUAUUUCCGAAAUUUUGAUUUCCCGCCAUUGUGAUGAAUUUUUGAAGGGAUGAUUUGGAAAGGAAAAGAAGUGUAUUUGAUAUGAGAGAAUUGUUUUGUGGUGAAUGAAGGAAGUUUUGGUAGGUAUUUAUAGGAGAAGGAUUGGAAGGUAGAAAGAAAAAGUGGUUGAAAAGUAAUUA
rnacentral:lncRNA from 1 species